AUACAAUGAAGAGUUGCCCGCUUUUUUUGUCAAUAGUCUCAACAAUUGUUUACUUUUUAAUUGUAACACAAUGUAAUUUAUUAAAAUUAGUGAACCAACAUUGAACUCUGUUUAUUAUCAAGUUUAAAUUUAGUGAUGACUAGGAGCGGAUAAUUGUGAUAAAUGAUGGUGAACAGUUUGACAUCCAACAGAGUCUAUUAUUGACUGGAAAGCGUGAUAACUGUAAUUACCGUUGGUAAAACUGAAGAAACGUUUGCUUUGCAAUUAUGAUUCCUGAUUUUUUUCAGCUACUGAAUGGAGGAUGGGUGAUGAACAAUUGGCUUCCUGGAAGUUUCCUAGUUGAUCUAAUCUGUGUAAGAAAAGCAUGAUGAGUACAGAAAAUGUUUAAGAGAAAGUAAGAAAAAGAUGAAAUGGAAGACAAAGCUUGGUGAACCUUUCUUCUGCUGUUUGUUUCAACUUUUGCAUUCAUCUUCUGCUCUACAGCAAAAAAAAGGUUUACUUUUUGCUUCUUCUGCUACCAUUUUAGUUGUCAUCUUUUUCCUUCAGUUUUCGAGACACAGUGCUAAUCAAGUAUACCAAUCAGACAUACUAAUUAGCAUUCAGUUGAUAAAAAUCAUCUUAUUCAUUGAAAUACGCUUAUCAUGAGAUACCUCUAGUGAGGAAAAGUGAAAGCUCGAUUGUAUUCAAAUUAGUCUUUUUUAUGAGAAAGAAAAGGAUGCAAUUGUCGCAAAAUUAGUUAUUGCUGUUGACAUGUUUGGAUGCUUAAACAUGAAGUAUUGUUGGACUUGGCCUACAGCUAUGUUAGCUAUAUAAUCGGUUCCCUGUCCGUUCACCACACUAAUCCUUUGAAUUGGAAUCGAGAAGGACAAAUUUAAAGCAGAUUUUUCGAUGUCUCAUCACAAUCAAGGAAUCUUCAACGGAAAACUGUGCAAUCCUGAAUUUGCCCAAUUAAAUAACAAGAAAAGUAAUUGAUUUAAGGUUAAAAUUCUGGAUACAUAAUUGGUUACUCCUUAGGCUGUCAAUGUUUUAGAGGUGAAUAUUUGAAGUCCGAAAUUCCAAGCCAAUUCCAUGCUAUUGACCAAUUGAUGUAGGCGUUUAAUCAAAGCCAGUGAGUGGAGCUUUCGUUGAUAAUGAUCAUGUUUAACCUUGGCUUGAUUCAGACGUGACUUAUUAACGAUAAUUGUUAUCGAGUUGAAAGAUGAUUUACCUUUAUUGAAGGAAACAAAUCAAGAUGGAAAUGGCUGAGCAAAUAAAUCGUUUAAAAUGAAGCUUACUUGGACUCUCUUUUUUAGGGUUAAAUGUUGCGUUAAUUUUUUUGCCAUCUUAUAAUUGACUUUUAAUCAUGAAUAUUUUAAAUGAUUUAAUCAUCGAUUUGACGUAAACCUGAUUCACUUUCAAGCUUGUUAAUUUAGUGGCUUGGAUUGGCGGUGUUUUGCGUUUCCAUCACUUUCAUCGUCAUCAUCAUUAUUGAAAUAAAUAUCAAUUAGUAGACUGAUUAGACGGGUUAAUUGUUGCAUUAUAGAUUACAAUUUUUAAUAAAUCAAUGACCGAACUUUUAACUUGUCAGUUUUUAGGCCAAUACUGAGUAAUCCAAGAAAAUUGUAUUCAAUUGAA